UACGUAGGCAGCAAGCGUUGUUCGGAAUUACUGGGCGUAAAGAGUGUGUAGGCGGUGCUCUAAGUUUGGUGUGAAAUCUCCCGGCUCAACUGGGAGGGUGCGCCGAAAACUGGAAUGCUUGAACGUGGGGGAGGAAAGCGGAAUUCCUGGUGUAGCGGUGAAAUGCGUAGAUAUCAGGAGGAACACCUGCGGUGUAGACGGCUUUCUGGACCAUUGUUGACGCUGAGACACGAAAGCGUGGGUAGCAAACAGG
rnacentral:rRNA from 1 species